rnacentral:lncRNA from 1 species
CUCAGUGCAGUCUCACACCUGAGAAAUUUCGGGUAGCAAAGAGCAAACGUGCGCUUUGCAUGGAAUGAAAACAGGGAGCAGAAAUGGAAAGGAAUGUCGAGGAACCUGUGUGGACACGGGAAGCAUUUUGCCGCUCCUCGGAUCUCCUCUGUGGAGCGGCAAAGCAAAGCGCCUCUAGGAGCCCAUCGGCCCGGCUCGCUCGCAGCCUCCCUUGGUGGGACCGCAGGGGCGUCCCAGGGUGCACGAGGAGGAGGAGGAGGAGGAGGAGGAGGAAGGUGUCUGCGGCAUCGCGCUGAGCAGCCGACAAGUCUGCAGAGGUUCCCACGAAGGGACUCGCCGUGUUUUGCAGUUCGAGCGUUAGCACCUUGUGGCAGUUUUUCUUGGGUGACCGUGUUGGCCGUUUUAUUUACAUUUGCGUUCAGAACGGGGCUCAGCUCUUUAAGCAUAAGGAGAAAUUUAAUCGUUUUGCUCAUCAGGUGGGGGAAUACUGCAGACCGGCUAACCGUCUGAAACCGGCUCCAAAGGCCCGAGACACCCUCCCCCUCUUCUGCAGCCGCAUUUCACUUGUGACCUUACGCAGCCCGUGGUCAGACGCGAUCCUUUGAACACGUCCCCGAGCAGCAGUGAUUAGAAGCGCUUUGAUUGCCCUGCUCAGCUGGUCCUCAGCUCCCGCGCCGCCGCCGCCGCGCUCGCCCACCUCCCCCUCGCACGCGGGCUCGUUCGCUCUCGGCGACGUUUAAGUCAAAGCUUCUUCUGUCCCUCCUCCCCCUCCGGCCCCCUUUCAUUUUCGUAUAGCGUAUUAAACCUCAAGACGUAGUUAACACUAAUCCUGAUGUAUUUAGGAUUUAUCUGCAUUAUUAAUUCCAGUCGUGUUGUGAAAAAGUACUAAGGGUUCCAGCUUGUAUAUAAACUUUGGCUGUUUUGGGGAGAGGUUUAUUUGAAUCUUCUCCUCGAAGUGAUAUUUUAGUCGAAAUCUCACUUUCCCAUUUUUAAAACACUUCAGAUAGGAGCUGGCCAUAAUAAUUUGAUUUAUUGUUAUUUUUUUCAGUAAAUACCCUCUUGGACUAUUUUAUGCAUUAAUCUGGAUUUGAUGUGGAUUUAAACAUUUACAAUGCAAAAUAAUUUGGGUUAAAAAUAAUCCUCCUUGAUAAAGC